UACAGGGGGUGCAAACGUUGCUCGGAAUUAUUGGGCGUAAAGCGCACGUAGGCGGUUACUUAAGUCGGAUGUGAAAACUCUGGGCUCAACCCAGAGCCUGCAUCCGAAACUGGAGUGCUAGAGUUCUGGAGGGGGUAGCGGAAUUCCUGGUGUAGCGGUGAAAUGCGUAGAUAUCAGGAGGAACACCGGUGGCGAAGGCGGCUACCUGGACAGAAACUGACGCUGAGGCGCGAAAAGCUAGGGGGAGCAAACAGG
rnacentral:rRNA from 1 species